AUUGUACAUGUGGCCUUAGGUACCUCACUAUCAUGGUGACUCUUUGUAAAGGACUUGGGGAGAACUACUGACUCCUGCCUGCCCCAAUCUCUGCACUUCAAUGAAUCACUGGCAAAAAGAACAUCAUCUUUUCCUCCCAGUGGUCACCUUCCUGAUUUACUAUAUCUCUAUAACUUGAGUCUUGGAGUUUACAACAGGUCUUAAAAUACAAUUUCAAGACAUACUGUGUCACUGGAGAACAUGGCCUUUAGGGAUUCAAACAGAAGUCAACUCAUUGGCCUUUAUUAGUACUUAGCAUGAGCACUAUGGUGUUUUAAGUAUAGUGAACAUUGCAAAAAUAAGAUAAAGCCAAGUCAUAAAAGACUCUAUAACUAGGGAAGUAAAAUUAAAAAUCAGAUGGGAAAGAAGGAAGAAGUUCUAGGACAUUGAACUUGCUUGAUGGCUAUAAAACACCCUGAAACACAUGAGAUGUCGAGACAUUGAGAAAGCCCUGACAAUGAUGUCAUGAAUUUAGCUGGGUCAUUAAAGUCUAGCAGAAGUGAUGAUAUGGGGAGAAUUGGAAAUAACAGGUGCCAGGCAAACCUGGACACUCUCAAGUGCACCAUGCGUUUAAAGGACAGAGAGAGGCAGACUCAGAUCACAGUAUGGAGGCAGCUCUUCCCAAAGCAAGAAUCAGUUCAAGAAAAUGGGGACAGAACCAGUGAUUAGACCUGUAGGCCCCUGGGAACUGCACAGCAUAGAGAUGAUACUGCAGAGUCAGGGCAGGACUGUGUGCAGAGAUGAAAGCUCUCCUUCAAGAGAAAUGGGCUAAAGGAGUCUGAAGGUCAGAAUGGCAGCCUUGCACCACCCUGAGUAGGGAAACCAGCCGACAAAUCAGACUAUGCCCUCACUGAAGCAAUACAAAUCAGACUUGCAUUUUAUUGUCUAGCCAAAUGCUUUGUCACUCUCAUUAGCUCCUCCACCCUCUGCUUGUGUCCACCUCUGCAAAUCAAUGAGCAAAGAACACCAACUCUAGUGCAGCUGUCUUGAUCCUAGAAUCAGCAAACCUCUGUGUCAAUGUUAUCCCAUUACUCCUUGUUUCUCUGGCUGGUUUCCUAGUCUCAAACCAAGGACAAUUCCUGCCUGCUUGCUUUGUUCUGGAAGACCUUUUACUCAGCAAACAAUACCUCAUGCCUGGGAAGAGGAUUAUAUGGGUGGAUGUGUUCUGUUUCCUCAUUGCCCAAAUUUUAGGCUUUUCUCUGAAAAAUUGAAAGUAAAGGAGACAUUCAUCUCCACUAUCUAGAGCUACAGUGAUGUUUUAACCUACUGAAAUUUAGAUUUAUCUAAAUUAGAUUCAGUUAAGUUCUCUCCUCUGUCAUCCCUGUUAGAAAACAUGCGGGCUUGCUUUCUAGUUGAUGAAAGAGCUGAGAUUUGAAGUGUAACUCUUUAUUCCCUCAGCUUCCAUCCCUGCUUCCUCCAAACAUUACACCCCUCCUCAUUCUGACAUGCUCACUAGUCCUCAACAGGGAGGUGGCCCAGCCUUGAUACAGUAAGCAUGGAGGGAGGGGGUGAUGGAGGGGGGGCAGCUUUGAGCUGAGAUUAACAAGCUGCUUCCCUGGGACACCACGUAGGUUUAGCAGUGAUUUUCCUCAAAUGUGGUAUGAUCUGGAAUUUGUAGAAGUUUAUUCUUAGCUCUUUCCUUUGGCUUCUGCAACAUGUUAACAGCUUGUGCAUUUUGUAAUGCCUUCUCUCAUUGCCAUGGUAACCAUUAAAACUUAAGGUAUAUUUGACUGGAGAGCUGGCCCAGGUAUUGGUUGCUGGCAUGCUGGAAGACAGUACAAAUGAAACGACACCAGGCAGCUGCUUGUUACAGUUCAAGGUAAGCCAAUCCAGUCGCAUAUAAUAAGCCCAAGCUUACACAAGCAGGCGAAGGAGGCCAACAGGAAGAGCAGAAGGGACGAGGAACAAGAGGAUGAAAACCGCAGCUCUGCAAAGGAAAAGCACUGUUUGCCUCCAGUGUCCGGAGUGAAAGCCUUCAACUGCAGACUGCUGCAAUUUCUACCCUAAUAGUCAACUAGCAAUUAGAACUGUUUGUUACAGUGACAGCCAGAGAAGCAUUUCAAGCAACAAGGCAGAAGCAGAGGAGCCAGAACAAGAGCCUGCUCAUUUGAAGGGGACUAUCGCCACACAGCAGCAAGUCCUGGGAUAGCAGGCAAUUUGGGGAGCAUGGCUGCAAGAGCUCAGCUUUCACACACAUGAGGCUGCAACUUUUGAGAAAGAGCUGAUCUUUAUUUUGCUGGAAGCAAAGAAAAUAGGAAUCCUUGUUUUGGUGUUUAGAAAGAGAUAUUCCACAUUCUAACUCAAUAUCCUAAUAGUCUAAUCUGAUAUAAGAGGAUGGAAUAAAUUGGGAACUUUAAUUGUCAGUUAUGGAUUUGAGACAGUGUUGCAGGGCUCAGGAAACAUCUCACAAUAAGAACCUUGCAAUGGAGUCCUGUUUACUUUACAAAAUGGGGGGGGGAUAUUUGAAAUAGUAUCUCUAGUAUCUUCAUCUGUUAUGUGUUCUUCAAGUAUUCUGUAAAUUAUGUUUAAGUUUAAUUGACAACUUGGGAGGAAAUGUUGUGUUUGGUGCCACAUUUUUUCUCCCUGUUCUUCUUUCUUGUUUUUUUUUUCUUCCAAGUAUUCUAGUCUACACUUUACAAAAUUAUAAUUAAAUUCUGUUCUUGAUUUCAGCAAUUAAAAGAGAAAAAAGCUUCACCCCUGGACUUGUAAGUUGUCUUUGGAAGCUAUCUCUUCCUCUGAAAUAAACCAAGAAUCCUACUUCUUUUCCUCAAAGAAACCAUCAGAGAAGCUUUAAACACUGCAGGGUAUUUGAUGUUCUCGAAGAGAUGUAGUUUUCCUCCUUUGUUCAAGAGCUAUUAUUAAGUAGAGAUUCAAUAAAUAGCCAAAUGCAGGCAAUUCUUAGACAUUGAGUAAGCAUCUUGCUAGAUACUUUUGUGUGCACUCAUUUGAAUGUAUUAUGCUUUCUAUUCUCUAAUGAGAAGAGUCAGGUGACCAAGCAGAACUGUGGACAGGCAGCUUUAGGAGGGAGCUGACACAGGCUGGGUGGGUUUACACAGGUUGUUAGGCAAGUCUUGGUGCUGCUUCCAGUGUCUUCUCGGAAGCAAACACUCCAAAUGCAGGAAAAGAAUAUUGCCGCUUUUUCUCUUUUGUUUUAGUAUGGAUGGGGUCUCUCCCCCUUUUAUUUAUUUUGCAAGUACGCAACUGCUCUGCAGCAGCUCUUUCCAGAGUCAGAGGUGAAGUCACGCUUGACUGGAGACAUCUAAGAUCAAUUUGUUGCCUCAUACUUCAACAUUAAAUGCAGCUUGAAAUAUAAUUGUUAGUCCAUGCACUCUCAGCUCUUAGGAAGUGUUCCAGCACCUCAGAACAGAGAGUGUGGAUAUUGAUGAUAAGCCAAAACGUGUACCCUAAACCACAGCUAAACAGAAUUUUCAGGUUCAGAGAUACAUAUAGCUCUAAGGAACAAGUUGGGGAGAAGGCAGAACAAAAGGCAGAAGGAAAACACACAAAAAGACAGAGCUUUGGGACUCUCAACCCUGAUGAGUGGAAAGCACACAGUCAAAUUUGGGGAUUUAGUUCAGUGGUAGAGUGCGUGCCUAGCAAGCACAAGGCCCUGGGUUCGAUCCUCAGCUCAAAAAAAAAUUUGGAAAAUUGCAAAUAAAAUAUAUUACACAUAAAUCAUUUUUCUUUUUCUUUUUAUUGCUAUUGAAAAAGUUCUACAACCCCCUUUUCCUUAGACAGCUUCACAAACCCUGAUUUGGAGGAUGACCAUUCAGUCUAGUGACGUCUGGUUUCUAUUUUGAGGAACUUUGGCUCACUAGCAGCCUGGUCUGGGAGGAAGCAGCAGGUGAGUCAGCACUGGGAAUUGAAUGACUAAGUCUUCUCACACCCCUCUGGAAUCAAGCUCUCAGAUUCUGCCUGUCCUCUCUGAUUAAAUUCUCUGAAGAAUUUUUUUAAAAAAAGUAAACAUACAAUCUCUGUGGCUCCAUAACUUGUGAGGGAACAUGGAAUCCAGGGCUUAUGAAGCUGAUCCUAUGGUAGGUCCAUUCUGUGAGAAUCCAAAGUUACAGUGUUUCCUUGGGUGGAAAAGAGAAGAUACUGUUAUAUUAAAUAUGGCAGUUCCAUGGUAACAUGAUCCUUUUUAGACAUAUAAGAGAAUUACUGAUUUAUGAUCUACCUAUCUCCAGAGUGGAAAGGACCUCCAAUGACAAAACACACAAGACAUAAGAGUCUUGACUUUUCUUGUUAAUAGAAGUGUUUUCUAGCUGACUGGCAGCAUAGAGUCCUGGAUACCAGUAAGGUAGGAUAUAUGAACCUGCUUCAUCAACAUGUUACUUUGUGACCUCAGACAAUUUGCAGCCCCCACCACACUGUGAUUUGCCAUUAGUUCAAGAGACACAAUUCUGUUCCCAGUAAGGGAUUUGUAGGAUAAGCUUGUCAGUGCAACAGAUUCCUAUUCAAAAUACCCAUUUGUAACAAGUUCAUUCAACAGCAUGCAAAUAUCCUUAGAAUCUCUCUGUACUUUCUAGGUCACUCAUUAAGUACAUGUUGGUGACACAUAGCCAUGGUAUGGAAAGUUUGAGCAUAGGAAUCUUCUUACAUCUCAUACCUUUCAAUAAUGCUUUGUCUCCAGGAGAAUAGGGGUCUUCUGCCAGCACCAGACCCUGUCCUGUAUACUUUCACUUCAGUCUUGCUGGCUUUCCAUAAAGAAAAAAAAAUCUGGCAGGAUCUCCUGUGACCCAGUUAGUGAGUAAGCAACAUGAAAUGAAAAGCUGAAUUACCAUAGUCACAAGAAAACCUAGAAGCCAAAACUACUUUAAAAAGUAUUUGCCAGGUUUAUGAUGCACAAGGACUUGGGGAAUCUAUGCCAGCAUGUGCUAUACAACAACAACCAGUCUUCACAAACCCAGGUUGAGAAUGGAGCCCCACAAAGAGCACUUGCUUUGGUGCCUGGAAUCCACAAAACUGUAGACUCAAUCUCAUAAAAAAAUGAAAUUGAAAGCCUUGGACAACUAGACAAUUCCACAAAGAAACCGAAAGAAAGAAAUGAAUGAAAUGACUGCUUCUAGGUGUGGUGGAGGAGAAGGAUUUUCUAGAUAUGAAGAAGAACACAGACAGAGACAUCUGGAAGGGUCCAGACUGAACCAACCACGGGAAUGUGUGUGUGUACCAGAAGCCAAGAGGCCAGGAGUGAGCCAGGAGAUCAAGAGACCUACUUGCCAAAAUGACUGAUUUAUAUAGGGAAGAGAAGCUAGGGCCUUCCCAUGAUGGGCCUGAUGCUGAUCACACUCCUCAGAUGGCUGGAUGUCCUCAGAAACGCACUUGCUGUUGAUCCCAGGGGAAUGCAGGGUUGUAAGCUUGCUCUGCUUAUAUACAUUAUGAGAAUGCUAUCCUUGUGAACUGUACUUGGAGUUAGUGUUCACAUGCACACAAACACGCAUGUGCACACAUGACUGUGCACCAAAAACACAUACACAAUCUCGACCGGUAUUGAUGAUAAAGACUAAGACAAUAUGUACCAAUUGUUUAAGCAGUUUCUAUCUUAAACCUCUCCAGGUAAAGUCACUUCAUGGUAGAAGACAACUAAGUGGAUCAAUAGUAACACAACUACUAAUAAGCGGAAGGGCUUGUGUUCAGUCUUUUGAUCCUAUAUUCCAUUUGUUCUAACACAUCAGUCUGCCUUUGAUAUCAUCUUACUUGGUUAUCAAGGACCUAGUUCAAAUCUUUAUUUCCUUAUGAUGUCUUUCUGAAUACAUCAAUUUACACAAUUCUCUUCUUUGAAGUAUGUGAUGACAAUAAUGAUGAUUUUCCACGUGAUAGAUUUUGAAAGUCUUUUUCAGUGUACAACGUGGUGAUGUAUAAUUAAUUACGAAAUUUUAUGUUAAAGUAUUUAUUACUAACAAUAGAACUGUAUUUUUUAGUUAAUUCGAAUAAUUAUAUUUCUGAAAGUGUGUUGUAAACUUUGGAAGGCAGAAGGUAUCUUCCACAUUCUCUCUCUGUUCUUGCAGCAUCCAAGUGAUCUUUAUUCCCACUGAGGCUAGUUACAUACUACCUGAGCAAUCAAAGCCAGCUAUGAGUCACAGUAAGUUAAAUACAAGUGAGUCAUUAGUUGUAUCCCUGCCUGCCCACUGUUGUUGCUUUUGUGGCUACUGAGUUUCAAUUCAGAAUGUUUUUGCUUCUCAAAUGCUUAGGAAAUGCCAAGUCUUUUCGAUUCCCAGAAUUCUCAAUCUUCAUUUGUGCCAGCUUUUAGGGAGGCCAAGGAAGCCUAAUGUGGAGAAUAAUUUUUAAAUCUAUUUGUUCCGUAUUGCUAAUGUUGCAUGUUGAGCCAAAACAUAAGCAACAUUCCACCAGCCAUAUUGUAAUAGAUGAUAAAACUGAGAAUUACAUUAACAACAUAAUCUAAUAGGUGUACCUGAGAAAGUAUGAAUGCACAUGGUCAUUUUCUAAAAUAUGCACUUGAAAUGCCACCCACUUGGACAGCCGUGGAAAUGGGGAAGGAGGGGGAAAGAAUCCAUCCCAAAGGAGCAUCUGGGAUCCUGUCCUAGCAGUUAUCACCCUUCUGGUACCCUGCUGCGUUCAGGCAGCACAGGCUGCAAUCUGGGAGAGUUCAUUUCAAGUUAUCAUCUGAACCUAAAACCAAGGUUACACCUCAAAUGUGAGUACAAAAUUCCUCCUGAAAAGGCUUACAUUCUGCUAAGGCAAUGGUUCUGUAGUUUGUUAUAAUAGAUGGAACAUUUUUAAGAAACAUUCUCAGCCUUAUAUGAGAAGUUAAAGAUAGAAGCUAUUUCUAAUAUUUUUAGAGAAAAAAAAGAGUUUUAACUACCUGAUGUACUUCACUAUGAUAAAACAAGACUAAGAGCAAUCUCAAGAUUUUUUCCCACAGCUAUAUCCUUAUCUUCAUAAGCAUGGCAGAAUGAGUAAGGGCUCAUCUCAACAUUGGCUCUCAAUCUUUGCAUUACCAUGUGAUCAAUACUGUGGGAUACCAUCAAAGGAAAGUGACAAGGUUGCUCUAGAGCUAAGACUGCAUGAGUGGGUCUCAGGAGGACAACUGAUGUGGGGGAGGGCGAGCACUGAGCACUUAGGUGGCUAUUAGGAGACAUCAUACUUCACAUUUAUAGAUUUCUACCCUUCACUCUCCCAUGUCUUUUCUGAGUCCAUACUAACUAGUAUUUCCUGAAAGGUGGUGAAGAGAAGCUAUAGGAAAGCAUGUGUCUACACUGAGGAGACAUUUUGACCUUAUAUUCCAGACUAGAGAGGUAUCUUCAUGAGGGGGUUGCACAUGUAACUGUAAAGGUUCAUUAUCAUGUAUUCUGGAACCAGAGUAGAAGUUCCUAACAUCCUUAGACAGGACAGUCAAAUGGAGAAAAACAACAGUUGCAUAAGGAAAGUAAAUAUAUUUACACAAGCAACUGCUUUGUUCUUUAAAAGUUAAAACCAGAAAACAAACUGAAAAUAUUUGGCAAAGGAAUAGAUUCCUAACAAAGUACAAGGGGAUUGCAGGAGGCCAGUCAAAGCACACACCACAUCCAAGCCUCCAAGAAGGCUCAGAAGCUGUAUGGACUAGUUUACACUCUAACUCCAAGAUGAAACAUGGACCAAAGCAACUUGGGGAGGGAAGGAUUUACCUGGUUUGUAGUUUACAGUGUCAGAGCAGGAACCCAAGGAAGGAACACGGAAAUAGGAACUUAAGCAGAAACCAUGGAGGAAUGCUGUUGGCUGGUUCAAGUUUGGUUAUCUUUCUUAUACAGCUCAAGGCCAUUUGCCCAUUAGAGGGCUGUGCCCUUUAAUAACAAUUGUCAACAAAGAACAUACUCUACAAACACAUCCACAGGCCAAUAUGAUGGACACAACUCCUCAGUAGAGGUCUCCUCCUACCAAGUGUGUGCCACUGACAACCAAAGCUAACUAUGACACUGACACAAUCAGAACUGAAACUGCAUAAAAAUAAGUUCUGUGGGGCCUGGGCUUGAGGAAAAUCAAAUCAUACAAGAGGACCGUGGAAACGUCAAAGAAAUGUGGCAUAUGUGAGGGAUGUUACUAGAUAUUACCUCUUGAGGUGAACACAAUUAGCUGACAGAAGACUAGGGUUGAGAUGAGAUGAGCUCAAUGCAUUCUCAAGUAGAAUGGAGAAUUCUGAGUAGUGAAGGAAACAUCUUACAGGUAUCAUCAAUGGACAAAAUGUUAUAAAUAUUGAAUUACAUGAAAAUUUGUGAUGGUUGAAUUUAAAAUCUUCGGUAAUUUUAAAAGUAAAUAUAAAAACAAUAUUGAUAACAAGUUAUACAACUAAUAAUCAAUUAUUAAUCACUUAUCCAAAGACACUGAAAUACAUUUUUUAAAACUUAGUUGUGAACUAAGUAUUUAUUCUCAAUCUUGAAUAAAGAUGUAAUUUUGUUCAAUGUCUUGAUUCAUGCCUUUGGUGGUAUUUGCCUUUAUCAAUACCAGAAACACUUUAAGGUGAUUUAGACUAUUAUAUUAAUCCAUAGGAAGUUAUCCACUUUCAACUUGUUUAAUAUAAAAACCGUGAGCCAAACAAGACACCAAAUAAACAAAAUGAAUAAGUAAACAAAAAGACAAAGAAAGUUGCCCAUGGUUCAAUCCAAAACUUUUACCAAGCUAAGUAUCUUCUACUGGAAAUCAGUGAAUUACAAUACAAUCAAUAGAAAUUUCUCACACAGCUCCAAGUCUUUAUAUUAAUAGAGUUAGAUCAGGUUUAAACCAAAGGUGUUUUUUCAGCGAUAUCACCUAAUUUCCUGACACAUUACAAAAUCAUCUUCAAGUAUCUCAUUUACAAUGGCCAACACAUGGAGGUACAAAUAUGUAGAAUGAUGUGGAGAUGUGGAGAUUUCAGCUAAUUUUUUU